rnacentral:rRNA from 1 species
UACGUAGGGUGCGAGCGUUGUCCGGAAUUAUUGGGCGUAAAGAGCUCGUAGGCGGUUUGUUGCGUCGGCCGUGAAAACCUGCAGCUUAACUGUGGGCCUGCGGCCGAUACGGGCAGACUUGAGUUCGGUAGGGGAGACUGGAAUUCCUGGUGUAGCGGUGAAAUGCGCAGAUAUCAGGAGGGACACCGGUGGCGAAGGCGGGUCUCUGGGCCGAUACUGACGCUGAGGAGCGAAAGCGUGGGGAGCGAACAGG